rnacentral:lncRNA from 1 species
AAAAACUUAGAAAAUAUUUUGUAUUUUUGAUACCUUCAGAAUCUCAUACAUUUUUUUGUUUACAUGAGAAAAAGCUAAAAGCAAAAAAAAAAAAAAAAAAAAAAAAGAGACUACGGGCCACCACGAUGAUAAGCAACACCUAUACUGUAUGUUGCAAGCAAUAAACGAAGCUCAGCGGGAGCCGAAAGGAUUGAGCAUAAUCAACAGAUCACUCGUAGACCUUGUUCCAAGUUUGGCUAAAAAGUCAAAAUACAUAUUACCUCUCAUACAUUAUGAUAUAAUAGCUAUUACCUCUCAUUUGCAUUCGGUAUCUCAUACAUUCAACUACUAUAAAAUGUUUAAUCAGUUAUGAAACAUUUCAUAUGGGGAGAUAAAGAAGAGGCCCAGCAGCUGCAAGGUUGUGACAGUGGGUGAAAAGAAGGUUUCCAUCAAAUAAUAUACAAAAAUUUCAUUGAUAGCUAUUUUUAUUU